AAGUGGUGGUAAGCAUCUGAGCAACCGCACCUCGGAACCACGCUGAGCAUCUGCCUCACCCCAGUCGGAGUGGCCGCCAUCAAGAACACAAAACAGGACGAUCGCGGGAGAAUGUGGGGAAGGCGUCCUCUGUCCUGCCGGUGCGGGUGUACAUCAGUGCGGCCACUGGAAAUCUGGACAGGAAUUCCUCAAAAUACAGAGCUGCCAUGCAACCCGGCCCGGCUCGGGCCUCCUCAGUAUAAGAAGCAAUUAGAGUGUGUUACCCAUCUGGACCCCUGCAUACUCACCUUUAUCACACCGCAGGUCACAACAGCAAGGUAUGGAACCGUUGAUGAGUGAUAAGGAAAUGUAGUAUGUAUGUGCAGCGGAGCAUUAUUCAGCCAUGAAGAAGAGCAAAAGUGUGUCCUUCACUAAAAAAUGCAUGGACCUGGGGACCAUCGUGUCAAGCAGAAUGAGCAGAUGCAGAAGGUUAGGUGUCAUGUUUUAUCUUAGAUGAAAAAUCUAAAACUAAAGAAAGAUGACUGGGGAGUAGAAGGUAGACUUCUGGAGAUGAGGAAGAGACAGGCAGAGGUAAGAGAGAGGUGAUGGGGAUAAAAAUAUUCAGAAUGUGCUGUGUGUGUGGAGGAAAGUGGACAAAAUGAACCCCGCGUCCUGUAGGACCAAGGCGCACGGAUGAGUGAGUAACGGUAAAGGGCCAGGACCCAGCCCGUGCUUCAACCAAGCACCUAGCACAGAGCGCCAGCCACCAACGGCAGGGUUUAGGGCCUUUGUGCAUCCACCCUGUGUUCCUCACAUCCCCAGGCAGCCGGUGGGAGCCCAGAUGAGAGGAGUCCCAUGGUGGAGACUCACGCAAACCUCUCUGAAGGUAGAGGCUGACGCCCGGGAGCAGGGGGCAGAGGUCGCUGCUGGUGCAGCGUUCAGAGCCCAGGAACAGACUUGGCUGCCAGACCUGGUAUCCAACUACACAGAGCAAGAGAGAGCGCAAACCAGGUAGAACAAACAGCUUGUGUAAAGGUCCUGGGGUAGGAAGGAUGUUAAGAAAAUAGAGAGGUAGCCAGAGAGGUGGCACAUGCUGUAAUCCCCCGCACUCAGGAGGCUGAGACAGGUGGGUCCCUGCAAGUUCAAGGCCAGCCUGGGCUACACAGUGUGAGGCACCUUGCAAGCCUUUGAAGUUACAGCGUGUUGGUCAUUUGUUGCUUUGAGACAAUCAUUUCUUCUUCAUUCCUUCAGCCUGCUGGGCCCCGGGAGGUUCUAGACAAAACCAAGAAAGGGACUUGGCCAGUGGGGCUUCUGGCGUGGUCUGAGCUGGGAUUGAUGAAUGACUCAAAGUUCUUUCUCCCCACUCUGGCAAGAACUUGGGCGGAACUUCUGUGCCACAUCCAGGACUAGGAGCUUGCCAAGUUUGUGUCCUUAAAAUAAAGUGAGUUCCAUGAUGGGAGGCAGAAAAGUAGAAAAUGUGACUUUUCUUGAUUGGGUAACUAAGAACCAGUCAGUAGGCAGGAGCCAUUUGGGGCCAAAGAGCUGUUCAUUUAAAGUGUUUAUUGACACCUGGAAAUAGGAAGUAAACUUCAAAUGCUGUUUUCACAGCAUUUUACUCUCUGUAAUGGUGACAAAUCCAAGCAGAUACCAACAGGGGAGCUCCAAAGUCAUUUUUGCUGGGUUUCCUUAGCGGAAACAGUCUCACACUGAGGGCUCUGGGGAGAGAGGGAGCCCGAGGAUGACCCUGUGGAAGGUGCCAGAUGGCUUCCGGUUUGGUGUGCUGCUGCUGAUUGCUUCCAGAUAGUUUCAGUUUAUGUCGGUUUGCUGGUGGCCCUGGGGAUCCUCUUCCUCUGGGUCUGGCCCUGCUACAUCUCCUGCUCUGUGGAGGACAGCACAGGGGGAAUUGCUGUCCACCCUUGCAGGAUUCCAUUUGGAUCUGACCAUCCACAGUGGGCCUGGGACCCCUCCAGGCACAGGAGUGAGGGGUGUCUCAGCAGUCACCUCUCAGAACACUCCCUCGGGGCUGGGGGCUGAGCUGUGUCUGGCUUCUGUCUCUGGAGACAGAGUGAUGGGAAUCUCUGCUUCCCUCCUGGACAGACAUCCAUGGGGAAAGAAACUUCACCCUUAAAACUGUUCCUGGUUACCACUGCCCCUCCCAGGACAGGGAUACUCAGGCAUGAGGGGUCGUAUUUCCCUUGAGCGUCUGUUGACAGCAGACCCCUUUCCCAGAGAAGUCCCCAAACAUGGAUAUGUUUAUGUCUAAGCUCCAGGGCUCCUUGGAAGCACUGACUCCUGCCCAUGACCCCAUGGGAAGCCGGCAACAGACACAACAAAAAAGAUAAAUCUCUCUGAUGGUGUCUUAGUCACUUUCCUGUCCCUGAGACAUAGUACCCCAACAUCCACAACUUGAGGAGGGGCUUCCUUUGGCCCAUGGUUUCAGGGGGGUCAGUCCCUGGUUGCCUGGCUUCAAGGCAGAAGCAGCAUGGCGGAAGGGCCUGGUGAGGAGAGCUGCCACCCCAUGGCAGCCAGGAAGCAGAGAGAGGGAGGAGCCAGGGGCAAGAAUGCACCCUUCCAGGUCACUCCCAGUGACCGCCUCCAACUGCCCGGCCUCCUAGCAGCACAUUCAGCCCUGAGCUCAUGCAUGGGGGGGAUCCACUGGUGAGCACAGCACCCCACGAUCCAGUCCCUUCCACACACUGAGACUUUGGGGACGUUGCAGAUGUGAACCGUAAGGAGGGUGAGCGUGGGGGCGGAACGAGGGCAUCUGUCCGCAGCCUGGUCCUAACCCUGCUGCGCUCUGUCCUCUCCCCAUCUCCCCUCCUGCAGCAGGGGCACCACUGAGGUGACCCCACAACCCACGGCCACCCCGCAACCUCCUGGCAUGGUGCGGCGGGGCAGCUGGUGUUGUGAAUCAGGCCGAUACCAAUCAGAGAACGGCUACUUCACAACACCAGGGUCUCACCCCACCACAGCAGCGCUCUGGACCAGAACCAGCACCGUGCCCGUCCUCUGCAGAGGGUCAUCGUGGGACCCCUCCGGGCAGGACUCCGGCACAGCUCUCCUGGUCCUGGCUUCCCAUGCAGCCCCAUGGCAAAUGCUGGCUCCUGAGGCUGCUGCUUAUCCCAGCACACAUAGCUCCACUUUGGGAAAAAGCCACUCCCGGCCACAUUAGCUUCCCACAGCCCUGGGACCGCUCCAGCGCCACCCAGCCCAGCAUUCCCUAUGGGUUCACAGGAACUAUAGGGCGGGAGUGGCCACUUAGUGGUGGGAGCUUCGCCAGGGCAAAGGAAGGGCAGGGAGGACCUGGUUAAAGGACGGUGGCCUUGGAGACUCCUUUAAAGGGUCCACAGGGCUUCCUGUCUGUGUUCAGGCUCACGUCUGUUUCCUGGCCGGCCCCAGGUCCCCUGAAGCAUCGCUCCUGCCGUGAGCAGCAGGAGACUUGCAUGGCUGUCCACUGGGCACACUGGCCACAUGACUGCUGGGCGAGAACCAAGCACGAGGCCGUCCCCUCCUACCUCUGGUCUGUCCCUCUCUUCCUGUCGGGGAAUACAUGCCAUUACCUGAGCUGGCAGGUGGCCUCCUCCCCCGAGGGCCCCACAGAGCUGAAAAGCCCCAUGGGGUCUCCAGAGCCGAAUGUUUGAUUGCCCGCCCAGUCUUGCAAGUGGAACCACCAUUUUUCAGAAUCUAGGCAGAAUUCCCAAGACGGAGUGGCAGGGGUUGCCCACUGUCCCUUCUGGGUCACGCAGAAAGAGAGCACCCCAUCCCUCUGGCUGUGUAGGGCACAGAGUCCCGGGUCUGCUCUGAUGACCCCAGGCCGCGGACAGGGCUGCUGCUGCUGCCCGAGAACCAGAGAGAGGGACAAGACCACGCUGACGCAGGCAGCGCUGCAGUCACACGCAGAGCCUGGUGGCUAUCACCUUGGAGUCAGGGAAGGGCCUGAUGUCUGGGGCUCUGUUCGGGAACAGACUGGCUCAGGGAUGGAGAGCCACAGCAGGUCUGUGUGUGUCCUUCAAGCCGUGCUUGUUCCCUGGGGAAGCCCUUCGUCUUUGCUGUCGUGCAUGGGAUCCUCAGGCCUUGGAGAGGACACGCUGUGUGGGGCAGGUGCUGCCCGUGAGCUCUGUCCACAGCCAUUGACCGCCACCCUGACAGGAAGCCCAAGUUCAGCCACUCUGCGUGGUUGCUUCUACGGGUCCUGCACAAGCAGCUGGCCCCAUCCGGGGCCUCAGGGUUCUCAGAGGAGACCCAGUGCAGACAGACACAGCCUUGGCUGUAGAGAGUUGUCACAUGCUCGCUUGACACUCACUGUCUUGUCCUCUUAACGAGUCACCAUCUUCUGACUGCCGGCACUUCUGGGAAAAGCUGACUUUGGACGGGAAGUAUCCUGAGUCAUACCUGGGAUCAAUAGCAGAGGUUCCCACACGCGGGCCCUGCAGCAGCCAGCACCCCGGGACUGUCGGAGAUGCAGAGCCCCCACCCCACCCUGGCAUCAGGAGCUCCAGGUGGGGGAGACCCAGCAGUCUGCCCAGCAGCAAGCACCCCGGGAGGCCACAUGAGCUGGAGAAGCACAAAAACGGGGUCAGAGAUGGGAGGAAAAAGUGUCCAGUGGGAAACAGUGAGAGGCGUGGUAGUGAGGCCUCCGUGCCUGCGUUGCAGCAGCGUGGACAAGGCCGUUACUGAAGGGGAGUAAUCAGCUUCAGAAACUCACUUCCCAGUCUUAACAGUAAACCUCCAGGUGUUCUGGGUUGUGAACCCUUGACCAUUCCCAUCUGUGUCUGGAAUAAGCACGCCCAGAAUGCGGUGUCCCUCCCCACGGGGGCCAAGGGAAGAGAUGUUUCCCCCAGUACAGUCUGCGGUUCUCUUUCUCGUAAUUGACCAAAUUCCUGACACAGUAGAGGGCUCGUUUUAAGGGCUGUAUGUUUCUGCCACAGUGCAUUUUAAGAAGAGGAAGUACAGGCAAAGAGGUUUCGCAUCCUGCUGCCAGACUGGGAGCCCCCAGGGCUGAGAUUUCAGCCCCUCCCUUAGCCCUGCCUUGGCUUUAGCCCCGCCUGCCUGAGCAAGUAGGGACCGGAACAGCUGGCACGGCCACCUCGGAGCAGCAGUGUCCAUCUGGCACCUGCCAGUGUCCCUGAGCCUAACCUGUGAUGUCGUGAAGACCAAACACGGGCCCACUGUUUCAUUUCACCGUGUACGUUGUCGUUUUCGCCUUGUGAUGGGUUAUUUUGUUUUGUUUUUCUUCGGUGGUGGAUGGAGGCUUCCUUGCUUGUUCUGCUGCUAUCCCAGGCAUUUAUCCUCAUCCCAGCAGAUGGUCUCAGGUGUUCUUUUUGCAAGCCACAACCAAAGACCUUCCCAACCCCAGCCAGCCUUGGCAGAUACUGCCCCUAAGCAUGAAACUCUUUAAAAAACAACAACAACAGUGAUUUGAGGCCAGAACCCUUAUCUCCUUCAGCUCACCUACCGCAGCCAGCACUGUCAGGACUCUGUGCGUUCUUCGCUGAGCUCCAGGGAGAGCUUAUGGGCCUGCAGGACAGAGUUGAAAUUCAACUUAUUGUUGACUUUAGUGGAUUUUGGAGGGAGGAACAAAAAUCUAUUCCAUUAUUCCCUUUGUGCAUUGUUACAGCUUAUAUCUAGAUGUCCCUCCAAAGCCUCACACACUCAUAGUGGGACUUUGGGGAGGUGGCUGGAUCAUGGGAGCAUGGUAACUGAAUUGUCCACUGAUUGUUAGCAUGGCUCUGGGUGUGGCUGAGGGAUUUACUGAAGACAGAAGACCCACAUGAGUGUGAGUGGUCCCAACCAAUAGGCUUCCAGCCUGAAUGGAAUAAAAGGGAAAUGGAGGCUCCCUGGCUUCCGCCUGCCUACCCUGCCAUGGACUGUUUCUCAUCUUGGAUGCCCUUCUGCCAUGCCACCCUGCCUUGGAGCUAGUCAACUGUGGACUGAAACUUCUACAAAUUGUGGGCUGAAAUAAACCUUUUCUCCUUUAACCUGUAGAUGUCAGGUAUUUUGUCUCAGCAAUGUGGAAAGUAAUUUAAGACAUCCCCAAAAGGAAAGCCUCAUAAGGAGUUUCACACAGACCAAAGAAAGAGUUUGAAAUUGCUGUUGUAACAGGCAUUUGCAAAGGAGCCAGUUUUGAUAGAAAAAGAGACUGAAAUCAGUAAGCAAGGACCCCGGGAGGCUCCAGGCUUCUCCCUCGGGAGGCGUCACAUGGGGGAGGAGCCCUCGAGUGUAGACAUAAAACCGUGGGGAAGAGCCACGCAGUCCCAGGCCUGGCUGUUCAACACCAGCAAAGAUGCAGACACACUGCCGGGUGUGCAAGUCCCUGAGAUCUAGCCCCGAGAGAACGGGCUUGUCUUUUUAUCAUUUGAGUGUUUUUACAAUUAUAAAGUCAAGCAUUUAAAUAUCCACCAGAACAAAGUACAAAUAAAAGCCUCCUUCCUCGGUUACUUUGGUCAGUGUGGGGUCUGAGGCGUCCACCCCACAUGGUCCCCAGACCUCCCGUCAGUCACCCCCUUGGUUUUCAGCUAGUAGGCCAAACGGCACUGACCACCUGGGCUCCCAGCCCCACCAGAUCCACCCAGCCCCACUGCCGGCCUCCUGUGGCUCCUCACGGGUCCUGUGUGAAGCCCCACGCUGUCCCCUGUGGGGACCUCGCCCAGGUGCCCUGCUGCUCUCUCCCUCCCUCUGCCCUGCCCUGGGUGAGGGACCCUCCCGUGAGGACGGUGGCUUCCCUCCCGCACCGCACCCUGCCUCUGGGUUGUGUCUCCCUGGGGCCCACGCGGGUCCCCUCCCGCCAGCACCCCAGCCGCGCGCGGUGUCCAGUGUGGGUGCUGAGUGAGCACCAACCAUGGAGCUGCCCCCCACGACAUCACCUGCCCGCCCCAGCCCUCAUCCCCACCAGCCCAUGGGAGGCCCCCGUCACUGACCCCCAUGGCAGCUCAGCCCUGGAAUCUGCACACCCUUGUAUCCAGUCCUGUUUCCCCAUGUGGCCACUAAUGCUUUCGCCACAGGGAGCUGCCUGGAGGCCACUGGGACCAGGAGCUGUGAUGCACAGAAAGAGCCCGAGGCUGCCAUCCCUGAGUCUGGAGCAGGUCACAGACACAGCCGGGUGCUUGGAGACACCGCGUGACCCUCGCUAUGCACGGGCUCACCGAGGUGUCUCCCCUCAGGGCACGGGCCUGGGGCUCCGGCUCUUUGCCCACCCCGACCUGUCAUGUGCCCACCUGCACGCCAUGCUUUGGGGACACUGCAGUCCUGUGGGCGCCUGCUCCUCUCUCCCCGCUCCCUAAAGUGCCCGUGGUGCUCCUCCAGGAGCCGCCAAGCAAGACCAGGCCCAAGCGCCCAAGAGACAGCACCUUCCACUCAGGGAAAGAGUGCCCUGGGGAGGACGCCCUGCAGUGACUCAGGACCCCAUCAAAAGUCCUUGCCCUUCCACUCUACACCUCAUGGUGCCAAGACGGCCGCUGCCAUGCAAGCCAGCAGCUUCAUAUUCCAGGAGGAAGAAAGGGGAGGUAGAAGAGCCAGUGAUAUCCCUUCCUUUUGUCAGGAGACAUAGACUUCCCAGAAACCUCCACCCUCACCCAGCAAACUACCACUUACAUCUCACUGGCCAGAUCCCUGUCACCAGCACCCACAGCCACAGGGAUGCAGUCAGUGAGGAAUCCACUACACCGCGUGGGAUGGCCGAGGCAGGGAGGAGCAGAUCAGUAACAGCGGGACAGUUAGCGGCUAUGGGAGCCUCUGCCAAACCUGUCAGUUAUUUUUUACCCUGACAACCGUUUCAUGGAGUUGGUGGCCAAAGCAGUACAUUCACCGUCACUUCAUAAAGACUUAAAAUCACUCCCCUGUCGCUUAGAAGUAACCACCGCUCUCCCCGUUUACUCUUCCAGCUCUUUGUAUUUUUUAACGUGGAUAGAACCACUCUAUGAGUUGCUCUAUAAUUUCAGUCUUUUCUGAUAUUGUAAAAAAAUAUAUAUUUCCAGAUCACUGAAUGUUCUGUGUAGAAUCACGACUCACGCCUGCGUGUUCUGCUCAAUGAGGUUCCACGGUUUGUUUGUUCAGUUGCUCUGUGCUCGGCUUUGGGUGUUUACAACAGCAGAAUCUGACAAAGCAGCGCUAGCGACUCUCCUCCUACCGAAGCCUUGCAGCUCACAGUAUCCCUCGGGAAUGUAUCGUAAGCAAAGCGCCGUGGGUGUGCACAUCCUUUAGAGCUUUUGAUCCCUGCCAGAUUGUCUUUCCAGAAGGGCCGUUCCAGUGAAUAGUCGAAUCGCUCAGCCUUCCUGUCACUGAACACAAUGCCCGACACCCACAACGUAAACAAGGAAAGGUUUCAUUUGGCUCUUGGUUUCAGAGGAUUCAGUCCAUGGUCACUGCCCCAACGUCAUGGCAGACAGGCAUGGUGGAAGAGAUCUGCUUAGUUCAUGGUGGCCAGCAAGCAGAGCAGGAAAAGGUGCCAGAGAGGAAGGGGCCAGGGACCAGGGGCCAGAUACAGUCCCCAAGGCCAUGCCUCCAUGACCCCUACCCAGAACAUGCUCUACUGAUGCCUGUGUGUCUCCCAAGCCAUCAAGUUGACAGGGUUCACUGUCUCAGCAAUGCUUUCAACAGACCUGUCCACUGGUGACCCAAUCUGUCCCCUCAUUUCCUAGUGAGCCUCACACAAGCCCCACAGUGUUUGGACCCAGACCUAAGCACCAAAGUCUGGCUCUUCUGGGCUCCUCAAGGCGAGGGCCAGGGCCAGAAGACUUGGGGACACUGAUCAGCGGGCCACGCAUCUGGGCAGUGCCCGGUCUCAUCCCAGACACACAUUUGCUUCGGAUGCAGAACCGUGUUGCCACAAGCUUUGUGACCAUGGGCUUCGCACUGAGGGUCAGUAAAAAGAGGAAACUGGGGUCAGAGCCAGUUGUUCUUGCCAGCCAGCAGGUCGGCGAGAGACUGAGUUGUGUCCCCACGGAGUGGUAUGUUGAAACUUGAAGUCCCAUGGUGACUGGGUUUGGAGAUGGGCCCUAGAGAGGUCAUCAAGGUUAAACUGCUGUGAGGGAGAGGCGUCCUCAUAAGAAGAGACCCCGAGGGGCCAGGGUCACUGAGGAAAGAGUGUGAGGACCCGGAGAGGGCCCUGGAGAAGCCAGACCUGCAGGCACCUUGAUCCUGAACUUUCAGACUCCAGAGCCGAGAAACACGCGCCCGCGCUUUCCUGCCCCCUCUGAGGUGCUGGUGAGGAGCCCUGCUGACUCGCCGUGCUCGACAGGUGGGGCCGCAGCUGCAGCUUCCUCUGAACCACGUAUCAGAUACCCAGAAGCCAGAGCCGAGCCCUCAGCCUGAGCCUUGGAUGUGUGUGUGGCAGGGAAGUUUCCCCUCGAGCUGGUCGCAUCCACCAUGACCCUCCUGGGCUCUGCGUCUGAGGCUCUUGCUGGGGCCGCGGGAGCCAGCACAGCCUGAGUUCAGGCACAGCUGCCUCGGCCGGAAGUGCCUGGGAGCCAGUGGCCCUGUGCAGAUCCAGUUGUCCCUGCCUUCUGCACAGCUCCUCAUUGGCUGCUCCUCCUCCCCUCUCACACCCCCCUGUCCCACCCCAAAUGCCUGAGUCCUGGAUGGCCUCCCAGAUAAACUUCAGGCCUCACAAUCUGCCGUGGAGGGGAACAGACUAAGGCACAUGAGAAAGCAAGCUGGGGUGCUUUCUUACUAUUCUGAUUCAGGGUUUUUAACUUUGUUUUAAUAGGUUUCAUUAUUUAGAGCAGUUUGGGGCUUCACAGCAAAACUGAGAGGAAGGUACAAAGAUCUCUCCACGCUCGCCCCUACUUGUUCAUAGCCUCCUCAUCUUGACAGACGUGUAGGUGACAUGCGUCUUCUGUUACAGCACCCUGCGGAAGUGUCUCUGCCCUCGUAUGCUGUGUUCCGCCCCGCCACACCUCCCUUACCCUAGCCCCUGGUGACCACCAAUCUUCACUGUCUUAGUCUUGCCUCUUCCUCAAGGUCACCUGGCUGCAGUGAUACAGUACAGAGCCUUUUCAGAUUGGCUGCAUUGACUUAGCAACGUGCAUCUACAGUUCCUCCACAUCUGUUCACGGUUUGUGGCUCCAGGUGACUUGGGGUCUGGUGAUGAUUUAUUAGAUUCAGCACCAGGGGCCUGGCCCACCGAAGAAGCUGUGGAUGAGCCGGACUUCAGUCUUUAGCUCUGUGAGGGACUGCCAGUGCCAAGCCGCAGACUGGGAGAAACUAUUUCCCAAAUACAUGUCUGAUAGAGAGAUCUGUUACCCAAAAUACACAGUGAACUCCUAAAGCCCAGCAGUAAAGAAAAAUUUUAAAUGCACGAAGGACUUCAACAGGUAACGUCACCAAAGUUGACAAAUAGGAAAAGAUGUUCCACAUCAUGUCAUCAGGGAAAUGCAGAUUAAAACAACGAGGUGGCACUGCUCACAUGUUAGGAUCACAGGGGCUGGCGAGGAAGCGAAUCCACGGAAACUGCUUCCAUCCCUGGCUGGGGCUGCAGAACGGUGCAGCCACCUAGGGGCACAAUUUCUUCCACAACUCUGAACAUCACAGUCUGGGGUCCAGCUUCGUGCUCACCAGCAUUACACCUUCAGGAGUGGGGACCCGCCACACAGCUCUGCACCGAAUUUGCUGCAGCCUUAUUCCUCAUUGCUACGUCCUGGAGGAACUGAGAUGCCCUUCACGACGUGAGUGGAGGGAGCACCAUGGGCCUCCAGACUCAGCACUAGCAAGUGUGGACCUGUGCACACACACAUAUGCUCCGGGGCACUGAGCAGCCUCCUAGCCGCAGAGCCCAGAUGCUGGUCACGGGGAAGAUGGCAGAGCUGAAGCCAUGGCCCCUGCCUGGACUGGAGAACUGGAGCUGAGCAGCCCUGGCUUCAAAUCCCAGCUCUCAGCCUCUCCAGCAGGGCGGUCUUGGGGGGCAUAUGACCCACCGGGUCCUCACUGGAGCAAUGUGGAAGUGGAAACAGCCCAGCCAUGGAUGUGCUGAGCAGAAGGCACACGAAUGUCCCUAGGAGCAAGGAUACGGGGAGCCCACAGUCUCCGGCAGCAGCACCUCCAGAGCUGCUCCAGGCAGCCCCCAGCCAAGGACUGAGGCCAACGGGGUCCCAGAGCCAGGCCACUCCCGUUGCACAGCCUUCCCUGGGGGACACCCCGCAGGCUGGCUGGGGUCAUCAGAUCUGCACUGCAGCUGAGCUCUCCCUGCCCGGCCACCGCCUGCCUUCCUGUGCCCUACAGGCCCGCCUUGGCACCAGGCUUCUCUCCCCAGGUCCUCGGGGUGGCCCAGGCUGUUCCACUGUGACCAACAGAAACAGAGCCUGGCUACUGAAUACAAAUUCAUCCAAGUGCUACUCGAGGGACACUAAGAGAAGUUACCGAGAAGCCAAAGCAUGGGCUCUGAAAAGAUGGGAGUCCAGCCGUUCCCAGUCUCCUGGAACGCGUGAGCUCUUCUUUUUCACGACAUCACUGUUGACACCAGCAAGCUGCAGUCACCCUGAGGUGCUUGUAACAUCCUCCUCGGGGGUCGGAUUCCUAGGAGAAGUGUCCAGUUGGCCUCAAGGUGGUGGGGCAUUCUGGAAAGUCACGGUCUUCCCCAGGUGGACACUUGGACUGUGUCCAAGCAAGAUGGUGGUGCCUGUCAUCGGAAGGCAAGAAGACCCGCCAGGUGGCUGGCUCGACCACAGAAUUCCACAGACCAUAAUGGGAGAAGGGAAAUGCACCCUACCUAGGUUCCUGCCAGGAGCCCAAGGCGAUGUAUCGCUGUAUGAUCAGCUCGACGUGACCAUAGCCAUCUUGAGGUUUCCCCAAAGUCAGCCUAGCUGGGUGACCAGCAGACUACAACCAGACAAAACGAGCGGGAUACGGAGCUUUACAAGAGACGUUGGUGUCCGCACUGUGCCUGGCUCUGACACUGACUGACGAGAAACCAGGUCCUUUCUGGGAGGGACGAAAUCUCUUUGUCCUGAUCCAUGAUGAGUGCCCUCCUCCGUCUGACCCAAAUCAUGGGAUCCAACUGGUCUCACUGCCACCUGCCACCCAGGACCACACUUCUGUCAGCGCUGCCCCCAGUAAACUGCGCCCAGUGCGGUCCUAGGUCUGCCUGCCUGUCUUUGCUCUCAUGGCACCCAGGGCUGGUUAUAGAGCAGGAGUGGGUUGUUCUAGAGCAAUCUGCAGUGCAUUUCCACCUGGUCACUCCUGCCUGGACCACCAUCCACUCUCCCCCUGAGAAUCUGAGUUUCUUGGGCUCAGGAUCAUUAUGCCCCAUCUCAGUUUGUAUCCCCCAGACAUUGUUGUCAAUAAGGAGUGGAGAAGACGUACUCAACUUUCAACACUUUCAGACACCCUUGUUUGGAAUAUAAUCAGCUGCUUCUCUUUCCUCUUAAAGUGCACUGGGAGGCUGAGGCAGGAGGAUUGCAAGUUCAAGGCCAGCCUGGGCAACUUAGUAUCUGCUCAAGACCCUGUUUCAAAACAAAUAAAAAGGGUUGGGGAUGUAGCUCAGCGUGAAGGCUUCAAGUUCAAUACAGAGAGAGUCAGAGAGACCCCCUCAGCUGCCCGGUGCUUCCUUUCCAAGAUGGAGCACCCUCGGCCCUGAGUGUACCCUUCUCAUCAUGAACCCCUUGGAGAUCCUGGGUUUACUGGGACCUUCAAGGCUAUGUCAAAUUCCGAUGGCUCUUCAGAUUGAAGUUCCUCAUCCCACAGAAAGGGACUCCUGAUGGCUGGGGGCUUCACUAACUUGUGGAAGGCAGAGACCCCUGUCCUGGGGAGCCAUUGCAGGGGACAGGGCACCCCGGCCUCACCCUCUGGGGAGUCUUCACCUUUAAAGGCUAAAGGCUGCUCUCUGCCCAUGCUUGACCCUCUACAUGGCGCUUUCUGUGGGCUCCGCUUGUUUCUGCUUCAGUUGCCCCAGGGUCAAGCCGGAAGUAGAGUCAAGGCCCUCACAGGGCCCUCAUCUGAUGACAGACAGGGAGCUGCCAGGGAACUGCACCAGCUCCCUGGGCCCCUGGGGGGGGCCUCUCCCCUCCCUCCUUGGCCGCCCCAAAUCCCUCAGCAGAACCGGGAUCCCCUGACCCGCAUUAGUCACUUGAAAGUGACCGUCACCCUCAGCCUGCCCCCACCUCGCUCUGCCGGUGUCUCCUCGUCACCGCGUCUCCCUCUGUUCCCCCAGAAGCACAAGGCUGACCAAAGGGUACGAGGGUUUCAAUAAGAAAUUAUUACAACAGGAGACACUUCGCAUGAGUCCUCCCCUCAGUUGGAACACCCUCAUCCCAUUCUUCUUGGCACUUUCUGGAGUAGCUCUGGAAGUCCUUUUGUGUGAGUGUCUUUACCAGGUGUGAUCAAAAAUACAGUGAAUGUGGCUGCCGAGCACCGUCCAACAGAAAGGCAGCUCGUAAAACACGACACUGUCUCCUCAUCCACCUAUUCACCUAUUCACCGGAUCUGGCACCGUGUGACUUCCGGCUCCUCCCUAAGUCAGUGAGCAUGAAAGGGAAAUGCUUUGAAUCCAUUCAGGACAUGGAGGGAGAUAUGGCAGCACCAGAGACAUUGAGGAAGGAGGACUCUGGAGCUGAUGCGGAAAGUGGCGAGGACAGUGGGAUGAGUGUGUGUGAAGUGAGGGCAAGGAUUCUGAGGGAGGUUCAUGGCAGUGUGUCUUUUAACUGUAGUAAUUAUUUUAAGUUUAAACAUUCACCGUACGUUUUGAUGACACCUUGAAGUCAAAGCCCCUCUUUUUUCAGUUCAUUUCUGCCCAGAAAGACUUGGAGAGCUGGGGUGUCCUCGCUGUAGGCAGGACGUGCAGCCGAAGUUCUAGACAGAGCCCCCUGGUCAGCGGGAGUACCUGCCUGGGAGGACCCCCAGCUCCCGUGACCUGACCCGCAGCCGGGCCCUGUGUCCAGCAGCAGGCCUUCCCUGGGCCGCAGGGUGCUGGAGGAGGCUGCGGUGGAAAGAGGCAGAUGCCAACAGCCUUUUGCUGCCUGUCUGCACAUUUCUCACUGACAGGCUACCGGGGGUGUAGCACUAUUUUUAUUUAAAAUGCCAGUUACCAUAGGAACAGCCACAUGACCCAAUACUUAGAUUCUAAGUCACACAGAAAAUACCCUUGGGAAAGGAGAGCGAGCAGCCAGUGCGUGCCGUGCCGGGAGGAAGAAGGCUCCCCCCACCUCCCAGCCUGCCCAGGCCUCCUGCCUCCCUGGCACCAGCCAGGGCCAGCGAUGGGGACAACUGCACUCCACCCAUGGCCCUGUGAGCUGCAGCUCUUCCCAGAGCCAGGUGCCCUCUCGGGUGGCCCCAGCUGCAGGUCAGGGGCCCCACACAGCUGGGGACAAGGUGCCGAGACCCCUCCCACAGCCCCACCCAGUGAUGGCCUCCCGGCCGGCAGGCCAGGUCCCAGCUCCAGCACGACAGUGGUUUCCUCCUCCUCCUUUAGCAAAGCCCAGGGCUGGCGAUGCCAGCAGGGAUGCAGAGGACCCUGCACCCCUCUGAGGCCCGGGAGGCUUUGAGCAGUGGGUGCCGUAGCCCCACAGCGCUGCGGCUGGGUCACCAGCUCCUAUGACAUCAUCAGGCUUUUCGUGAGAAUUGUGUAUGAUUAUAAGUCCCCUGAUCCCUGAGCACCCGGUGGUCAGUAAUUGCUAAUGUUAUUGUGGGAUAUGAUGGGCAGUGAACAUUGUAUGAGUCUGUUUUUCAUUAUUGUAGCAAAAUACAUAAGGCAGGCUGACUUUAUAAGUUUUCUACCCUCUAGGUAUCUUCCUGAAAGAGUUAAAGACAUCAUGUUACAGUGAUCCAUAAUACUCAUUAUAGCAACACAGUUCAUAAUAGGUAAAUCUUGGAAGUGGCUUCUAUGUUCAUCAACAGAUGAGUGGAUAAAGAAAACAUGUUUACACGCAAUGGAGUACUACUCUGCCAUAAAGAAGCGUAGACUUGAGUCAUUUGUAGGAAAAUGGAUGCACCUUGAGACCCUAAUGCUAAGUGAAGUAAAUCAGAUACACAAGCUUAAAUGAUGUAAGGUUUCUCUUACACGAGAAACCCAAAAUACAGCGGCACCUCGGUUCAUGGACACUUUCUUUGGCAGUUUGGUUCAUAAACAGACGCGUUUGGCGAAAUUGUGUUUUUGUUUCCAAACUCUGCAUCAGAUGACAAACACAACCCUGGCCCUCUUUCCCACACAAACACAAAUGUGGCCGCCUUUUCCAAAAUCGUAGAAUGAAUUAAGUUUGUGAACUGAGGUGCCAGUGUGUAAAAGAGCAAAGUAAAAUGUAGAUGAUCGGAAAUAGGGAGAUCUUUUUCAAAUGAGAAGGGGAAGGGAUGGAGCGAGGGGGAAGAGAAGGGGUAGGGAACAAGAAUUGAAGGAGGAGAGUGGAAAGGGCACUUUUGCAAAAGGAAAGGGGGCCAAGACUUGGACGGAGCUGGGAGGGAGGGAGGGGAGAGGUGGGAAAGGACAUAGUGUGUGGAGCAUCCGUGUGCCGACUCCCCACGAUGGAUGUGAUUGUUCUGCACUCACACAUGGAGCAAGAGAAAAUGAAGAGGCUUCCUAGCUCGCAAUUGUGGAAGCUGAAAACCUGGGUGUGGAUGGCGUCUCCGGGGAGGCCCCAGGCAGAUGCAGGCCGUCACGGCCACUGCAGGGGAUGGGUAAGAAGCCAGAUCCCCGAGCCGGAAGCUGGCAGGGCCUGGCACUCCAGCCCUCCCAAGGCCGCCCUCGAGGCCCCGGCACCUCACACCGCUGCAUGGGCACCAAGGCUCCAGUACUGACCUCCAGGGGACAAAGGACAGCUCAGCCGCCCUUGGAGCGCAGCAACAGGCUCCUGCCACCGACCAUUCAGUCAUCAGUCACGAGGAUUGCAUAACUUGGACCAAACCCUUAGCUGUGUGCAGGGCUGACAUGUCCGAGCCUGACCAGGUCCUCGCAGGGCCCAUUUUCACACCCAGCCACCUGCCUUAGAAGCUGGGAUGCCGUGAGCUGGGUCUCGAACCCAGACCGCUCUGUUGCUGAAUCUCCACUUUUAGCCAACAUGCUAGGAAAGUGAGUCCUGGGACAGCCUCACCCAAGAAGAUAGUGACAGAGCAGGCGGAGGUG
rnacentral:lncRNA from 1 species